rnacentral:piRNA from 2 species
GCUUGGCUGAGGAGCCAAUGGGG